rnacentral:misc_RNA from 1 species
CUUAAUUACCAUUAGCUGCAGAAUAUGGAUUGAGAACAUACCAAUUAGUAAUAAUCAUUUCUACUUCUUUUCAAACCAGCCAUUAAGAUUAACACUUAAUGAGUUAUUAAACAGAAAAACGCGCUGUAUUUCAAUUUGCUUCCUUAGCCUACAAAAUUAAACUUUCAGAAGCAAAUUUGGACAAGUAAACAAUUCCACAAUAAUUUAUAGAAAAGGGAAAAGGGGUAUAAGGUACCGACAAAAAAAAAAAAAUCAAAAUGCAAAAGUUUUCAGGAAGACAAAAUAAGAACUAGACAAUAUCAUCAGGUUGUAAUUAAGAAGUAGGCUCAAAUGAGAUUAAACUGUCAGAUAUGUCUUAAAAAUAUUAAUCAAGACACUAAACAAGAAAAGAAAAACAACCCGUUAAAUAAGAAACCCUUUCUCAACACGCCAAAAAUUUCUCAUCACAGAAGAUCAGCAACAUUAGAUGGCAGCUCCUCAAUGACCACAUUGUAGAACUUCUGAAUAUCAAACAGCAUUCUCUCAUCAUCCCUUGUCACAAAAUUAAUGGCAACACCUUUUCUUCCAAAUCGUCCACCUCGUCCAAUACGAUGAAGGUAGUUUUCAGGUUGAGUAGGCAGAUCAUAGUUUAUGACAAGAGAAACUUGCUGCACAUCAAUACCACGAGCCAAGAGAUCAGUGGUGAUGAGAACACGAGAAGAACCAGAACGGAAUUCUCGCAUAAUGAUAUCACGAGUGUUCUGGUCCAUAUCUCCAUGAGUUGCUGAUACUGUAUGGUCACGGCCACGCAUCUUGUCAGUGAGCCAGUCAACCUUCCGCCGUGUGUUUACAAAGAUAACACUCUGGGUGAUGGCUAGGGUCUCAUACAGAUCACAUAGUGUUUCAAGUUUCCAUUCUUCCUUCUCAACAUUGACAUAGAACUGCUUGAUACCCUCAAGGGUAAGCUCAUCACGCUUGACCAAUAUCCUUACAGGCUUGUUCAUGAACUUUCUCGUGAUCUCAAGGGCCUCUGGUGGCAUGGUAGCAGAGAACACACCAAUCUGAACUUUUGCCGGCAGCAACUGGAAAAUGUCAUAGAUCUGAUCCUUAAAACCACGUGAAAGCAUCUCAUCAGCCUCAUCCAAUACAAACAUCCUAAUGUAAUCUGGGCGAAGUGACUGCCUUCUCAACAUGUCAAACACACGACCAGGAGUGCCCACAACAACAUGAACACCAGCUUGGAGAAUGCGUUGAUCCUCACGAACACUUGUUCCACCUACACAAGCAUGAACCUUCACACCAAGAUAAUCACCAAGGGCUCGCAUAACUUUCUCAAUCUGUUGCGCCAAUUCUCUAGUCGGAGCCAAGACCAGUGCCUGACAUUGGACUAGACCAUAAUCAAGUUGCUGGAGAAUCCCAGAGCAGAAAGUUGCUGUUUUACCGGUUCCAGACUGGGCCUGCUGAAUUACAUCAAGACCCUUGCAGAAUGGAACAAUUCCCCUUUGCUGGAUUGCAGAUGGCUUCUCAAAACCAUAAGCAUAGAUGCCCCUCAGAAGGUUCUCUUGCAAUCCCAUUGCAUCAAAACUUUCAUAAACCUCAUCAUAAGUAGUGAAGAAGUCUUGUCCUUCAGUUGAAAGUAAUUCACUCAUUUUAGCAUCAUAUUGCUUAGCAUCAAACUGUGAUCCUUCUGGUGCCACACCUGCCAUUACUGCAUGAAGAUAAACUAUGUUAGAUGCAAAUUUUAACUGUGUGCGAGAGGGCAGUGUUAAAAUACAAAUUACAAAACUAAACAGGUAAAGAACACAAUUACAUCCUGGUACUGCAUCAGUUCCACCAAUAAAAAGGAGAGAAAAUCAGAAAGAUUGUAUAACAUAUUAUACAAUCUAGGGAAGAACGUCCUUAUAAAUUAUUCCGUAAAUGCUAGAAGCACAAGAAAGAACACACAAACACAAAUGAAAUAAUCCACCAGACCACACAAUGAUUCACUGUCGUCCACCCAUUACCCCAUAAUGGUAGGAAACAGAAGGAAAUUGUCACAGAAGAGCCAAACUUGCAAACCAAAAUAAAAAGGAGUACAGGCAUUAAACUUCUGUUUCAGUUUCUGGAGAAGAUAUGCAAGGGGCAGCCAGGUAUCUGAUACAUUGGAUAUAAAUCCUUCACCAGAAGACUAAUUUGCCCACUCCUCCAAAAUAUCAAACCAAAAAAUCAAGGAAUCGUGAUGCAGUAAUAAAAGUUGAGAGAGAAAGAGAGAAUUUCUCAAUGGAUUCAAAGAAACGGGUGAAGUUUUAAGAAUAAUGGCACCUACUUUGGAAUUACACAACAAUACAUUAUCAUAAAACUGUGGCCUUCUAAUAUGGGAUAAUCAUUAAAACAAGCAUCUGUGUAGCAUCAAAUGUUGGCAAAUUGUCUUAAAUAGUAAAUACAUACAAAUAUCUACCCUUUUGUAUGUGCUCUACAAUUGUA